rnacentral:rRNA from 1 species
ACCUGAUGCAGCGACGCCGCGUGAGGGAUGACGGCCUCGGGUUGUAAACCUCUUUCAGUAGGGAAGAAGUGAAAAGUGACGGUACCUGCAGAAGAAGCGCCGGCUAACUACGUGCCAGCAGCCGCGGUAAUACGUAGGGCGCAAGCGUUAUCCGGAAUUAUUGGGCGUAAAGAGCUCGUAGGCGGUUUGUCGCGUCUGCCGUGAAAGUCCGGGGCUCAACUCCGGAUCUGCGGUGGGUACGGGCAGACUAGAGUGAUGUAGGGGAGACUGGAAUUCCUGGUGUAGCGGUGAAAUGCGCAGAUAUCAGGAGGAACACCGAUGGCGAAGGCAGGUCUCUGGGCAUUAACUGACGCUGAGGAGCGAAAGCAUGGGGAGCGAACAGGAUUAGAUACCCUGGUAGUCCAUGCCGUAAACGUUGGGCACUAGGUGUGGGGGCAUUCCACGUUUUCCGCGCCGUAGCUAACGCAUUAAGUGCCCCGCCUGGGGAGUACGGCCGCAAGGCUA